AACCCGCUUGAGUCAGCUUCUGCAUUGUGGAAGGUUUGUUCUUUCUCUCUUUGCAGUAAAUCUUACUGCUGCUCACUUUUUGGGUCCACACUGCGUUUAUUAGCUGCAACGCUCACCGCUAUGGUCUGCAGCUUCACUCCUGAAGCCAGCGAGACCACGAACCCACCAGAAUGAAGAAACUCCGAACACAUCCAAACAUCAGAAGGAACAAACUCCGGACAGGCGGCCUUUAAGAACUGUAACACUCACCUCGAGGGUCUGCGGCUUCAUUCUUGAAGUCAGUGAGACCAAGAACCCACCAAUUCCGGACACAAUGUUACUCCAGAUAAUCAGCGCCAUUUUCUGAAGCUUGAGAUGCAGGAAAAGAGGAGUGCUAUCCAUUAGAUGGAGACAGGAAGUAGAAAAAGAGCUUAAAGUUUUGGCUUGUGUUACUUCCUUGGGGAGAUCUUGCUGGACCACAUCAGGAAUAGGAGGGGUGUGUCCCCACAGCACUGUGUACACGCACUUGGGCAAACAGCUGAUAGGAGUUCAUUUUGUGAAGCUGUCACGAGUUUUCCAGUAGACCAUGAGCUUGCUGAUGGCAGGAGCCUGCCUGUCCUUGAUCCUUGUUUCUGUGGGGUCUAUCCCAGUGCCUGGCACAGUGGCUUUGGAGAUGGAAGGAAUAGAGGGAGAUCCUCAAACACAGCCUGCAUCUCUCCCUGCUCCCCUCCCACCCUCCAGUUUUCCAGCCAGAGGCAUUUGCUCUAAGGCCCAGGCUGUGGCCCACCUAUCACCGCUACCCAAGUAGUACAGGAAAAGGAAAUUUGAAGAGGAAAAGAGGCACCAGGGAUGAGGACACACCGAGAAAAGACCAUGUGAAGACAUGGCGAGAAGACAGCCAGCUGCAAGCCAAGGAGUGAGGCCUCAGAAGAAACCAACCCUGCCGACACCUUGACCUUGGACUUCUAGUCUCUAGAAUUAUGCGAAAAUAAAUUCCUGUUGUUUAAGCCACCCACUCUGUAGUAUUUUGUUAUGGCAGCCCCAAGCAAACUAAUACAGUAUCCUUGAAGAAAGAAGAAUUAUAAAACCUAACAGUUAAGGGGCAGUUAAUUGACAUAUUAAUAAUUCAUUUAGUCUUCUCUUCACAGAAACUCUCUAUAGGAGUUAUUACCAUUUAUCACCAUUUUACAGAGGAGAAAACUGAGGCACAAGAGGUCAAGUAACCUGCUUCAAAGUCAUAACUAGUAAGUGACAGAGGCAGUUUCUUCACUCUCAGUCCUCUAAAAAGCAAAGCCCAAGGUUAAAGUGCUGACAUUUAGU
rnacentral:lncRNA from 1 species